rnacentral:rRNA from 1 species
UACAGAGGUCCCGAGCGUUGUUCGGAUUCACUGGGCGUAAAGGGUGCGUAGGCGGUCGCGUAAGUCAGGUGUGAAAUCUCAGGGCUCAACCCUGAAACUGCACUUGAUACUGCGUGGCUCGGGUACUGGAGAGGAGACUGGAAUUUACGGUGUAGCAGUGAAAUGCGUAGAUAUCGUAAGGAAGACCAGUGGCGAAGGCGAGUCUCUGGACAGUUACCGACGCUGAGGCACGAAGGUCAGGGGAGCAAACGGG